AGCGAACGCUGGCGGCAGGCCUAACACAUGCAAGUCGAACGAAGUCUUCGGACUUAGUGGCGGACGGGUGAGUAACACGUGGGAACGUACCUUUUGGUUCGGAACAACUCAGGGAAACUUGAGCUAAUACCGGAUGAGCCCUUAGGGGGAAAGAUUUAUCGCCGAAAGAGCGGCCCGCGUUAGAUUAGCUAGUUGGUGAGGUAAAGGCUCACCAAGGCUACGAUCUAUAGCUGGUCUGAGAGGAUGAUCAGCCACACUGGGACUGAGACACGGCCCAGACUCCUACGGGAGGCAGCAGUGGGGAAUCUUGCGCAAUGGGCGAAAGCCUGACGCAGCCAUGCCACGUGAAUGAUGAGGGUCUUAGGAUUGUAAAAUUCUUUUACCAGGGACGAUAAUGACGGUACCUGGAGAAAAAGCCCCGGCUAACUUCGUGCCAGCCGCCGCUGUAAGAC
rnacentral:rRNA from 1 species